rnacentral:misc_RNA from 1 species
UGCUGGUGGGUUUCAAAAUCAAACAUUGUGUGUUUAUCUCUCUAUCUUGUUCUUUCCUUCUCCAUCUCUCUCUCUUCCCUUCCUCCACACCCCCCCCCCCCACAACCCAAAAUCUCCUCUCGCUCCCACUUGGGUUUUUCUGUCUAAAAUUUUCUUUCCACUUUAGCUUAGACAGUUAGACCUGAUGCUAACGCUUGAGCAUCUAUUAUUUGUUUCAAUUUUUUUUUCCCAUGUUCCUUGGCCCUUUAUCAGCUAAUGCCCACAUUAGAGAAUUGCCUUUUAUUUUUUUAAUAAUAAUAAUAA